rnacentral:misc_RNA from 1 species
AACGCACAUUGCGCCCCUUGGUAUUCCAUGGGGCAUGCCUGUUCGAGCGUCAUCUACACCCUCAAGCUCUGCUUGGUGUUGGGCGUCUGUCCCGCCUUCGUGCGCGGACUCGCCCCAAAUUCAUUGGCAGCGGUCUUUGCCUCCUCUCGCGCAGCACAAUUGCGUUGCAGGGGGGCGCGGCCCGCGUCCACGAAGCAACAUUACCGUCUUUGACCUCGGAUCAGGUAGGGAUACCCGCUGAACUUAA